rnacentral:rRNA from 2 species
CACACGACUCUCGGCAACGGAUAUCUCGGCUCUCGCAUCGAUGAAGAACGUAGCGAAAUGCGAUACCUGGUGUGAAUUGCAGAAUCCCGCGAACCAUCGAGUCUUUGAACGCAAGUUGCGCCCGAGGCCAUUNGGCCGAGGGCACGCCUGCCUGGGCGUCACG